AAAAUCCAGCAAUUUGAAUAAGAUAUAGACACUCAAAAUGCUAUUAGAUAGAAUCGUUAAGUACAGUCUUUGAUCAUGGUAUUUAGAUUUUAUACAUAAAAGUUAUAAAAAGACGUUUGCCGAGAGACACACAAAAAAUACCGCAACUGCAAACAGAUUGGGACUUUCCAUUUGCCCACUGAACAGCACUAUUUCCUUUAUUAGAAAAGAAGCGUAUAACAUGGGAGGCGUUUUAACGAGAGGGUUAUUUAUCUCCGAUCUCCUGAUAGCAUAAUGAUGUAUAAAAAAUGGGUCCAGAAAAAGUCGUUAUUGGGCCCAAUCAAAAUACAUUUGAGAUGUUCGAGAGCUUUUUUUUUGGUUGUUGAAGCAUGUCAAAUACGAUGCCAAAGUAAAAACGUCUCACGUUUUUCAAGAGAAAAUAUUCAGCAUUGUAAGCCUUCGUCCCGGCGUUUAUAAAUAGCGCGAAGGAUAAUCUGAGCAAAAUUCUUUAAAAAAGACCAAAUGCUUGGAAGUAUGCAUUUCCGCUCAUAAUGCCCUGCAUAAUAAUAUUCAUCGACGGAAAAAUAUUCAGCAAAAUCAGGUGUAAAGCGAACACAACAGAGCACAGCUCCCGUGAAAACCGUGUAGAAGAAAUGAAAAUAUUGGACGUUACGACAACAACAACAACGAGAAGUGACAUGGAAGAAAUACAAAUUACAUGCAUUACCAACUCUUGGUCAAGGACAUUCCUAUGGCGGCAGCACGACGUUUAAAUAGGUUUCCUUUUUUAGAGUUCAAAGUAGUUUGGAGGACCUGGCUAUUUUUGACUACUAGCUUGUUUCAAAAGAACAAGUAGGAACCCAAAUUAGGAUUUCACUUAAACACAUUAAAACUAUACACUGUAAUGUUAGUAUUUAUUUGAGUUUCAAUUUUAUAGAUAGUUUAUAAUCACCUAAAAUAAGUAUAAUAACAUUUUUACAGAAUAAAAGUUCAAUUUACAUCAUAUAUUCCUUUACUGUACCGAGACGUUUAUGUGUACAAUUACGUUGGCUUUUCUAUUAAUUAAAAUAAGCAAAAAGAAAAAAAAAAAAACA